CCCCACUCUCCUCACCAGCAUGUAAGCACUGCUCAGCAAUAACAAAAACAUCCCUGUGUUAUGUCUCUGUAGAAGUUUCUCUGAUUCCUAUCUUGAGCAAGGCAGAUGUGUUUCUUGUUGAGGGCUUCUUCAAGCUAUCCCAUACAAAUGUAGCUACUAUAAUUGUACCUCAGUGAGACAGAAAAGAAGGAAGAUUACAGUUCACCUAGAAGACUCAGCAAAUUCAUAAACUCUGCACUUGAUAACUGAGCUCCAAUAAGCCUUCCUGGAACAAUGCUCGUCAGUAAUGUUGUUAAGAACAGAAGAUUACAGCCUAGGUGUUUUUCAUAGGGAGGACAAAAACAUGGAGUCAUUCCAGUCUGAAAGUUGGUCACUAGAUAUGGAACGCCAUCUCCAGUCUGAUAAACUGCCAGUUCUUCUUUCUUCCUAGCUAAGAAGCUGAUUCAGAGAGGUGUU